GAUGAAGAACGCAGUGAAAUGCGAUAAGUAAUGUGAAUUGCAGAAUUCAGUGAAUCAUCGAAUCUUUGAACGCACAUUGCGCCCCCUGGUAUUCCGGGGGGCAUGCCUGUCCGAGCGUCAUUACAACCCUCAAGCUCAGCUUGGUGUUGGGCCCCGCCGCCCCGGCGGGCCCUAAAGUCAGUGGCGGUGCCGUCCGGCUCCGAGCGUAGUAAUUCUUCUCGCUCUGGAGGUCCGGUCGUGUGCUCGCCAGCAACCCCCAAUUUUUUUCAGGUUGACCUCGGUUCAGGUAGGGAUACCCGCUGAACUUAAGCAUAUCAAUAAGCGGAGGA
rnacentral:misc_RNA from 1 species